rnacentral:lncRNA from 1 species
GAACGCGGCUCUUCCCGGAGCCACAAGCAUUUCUUUAUUCAUCCCCUACUGCGCCCGGGAGGGCAUCGGGGACCGGCUGGGCCGUGGGCUUCGGGCAGGACUGGGCUCGGCGCCCCAGGCCCUCGGCCUGGCCAGGGAGCCCCCCAGUCCCUAGACUCCUCUCCAGCCAGGUCUACACCGUCCCCCAUUCAUAUUCUUCCGGGUUAGUAACAGCUUCUUUUAAAGCAAAACCGCCCCAGAAGGUCCCGGAGCUCAGUCGAUUCCCCUCUUGGUGUGAAUUCGCUUAAUCCCCGGCUAACGGGUACCGACGUCCCCCACCGCGUGCGGGCCAGGGCGUUGGACCCGGGCUUUCAGGGUUUGGAACCAAGCGGUCUCCCUCCCGGAUUCCCAGAGCCCCAGGGGAGCCAGGCCUUCCUCUUUGGCGCCCAGGAAACUAAGCUUGCCCUUGGCAAAGAGCAGCCCCUACCCUACCUGCUGGUCCCUUGUCUUGCCCCACUCUGUUCAUCAAGACGUGAGCACACAAGGCUUGAACUCUGCUGUUCUGAGUUCAUGCAUUUACACAGUACCAUCAUUCUGGAGAAUUCCUAA